rnacentral:hammerhead_ribozyme from 1 species
AUUCGGCUGACGAGUCCCAAAUAGGACGAGACACGCGUCUUGGGU